AUGUUGGCUCAAUCCGAAGGAAAUUAUGCGGAAGCUUUGCAAAAUUAUUAUGAAGCUACGCGACUAGAAAUCGAUCCCUAUGAUCGAAGUUAUAUACUCUAUAACAUAGGCCUUAUACACACAAGCAAUGGAGAGCAUACAAAGGCUUUGGAAUAUUAUUUCCGGGCACUAGAACGAAACCCCUUCUUACCGCAAGCUUUUAAUAAUAUGGCCGUGAUCUGUCAUUACCGAGGAGAACAGGCCAUUCUAGAGGGUGAUUCAGAAAUUGCGGAAGCUUGGUUUGAUCAAGCUGCUGAAUAUUGGAAACAAGCUAUAGCGCUUACUCCGGGAAAUUAUAUUGAAGCACAGAACUGGUUGAAGAUUACGAAGCGCUUUGAAUUUGAAUAA
rnacentral:rRNA from 1 species